rnacentral:tRNA from 1 species
GUGCUGUGCAUUAGUUGGUUAAGGCACCUGUCUAGUAAACAGGAGAUCCUGGGUUCAAAUCCCAGCGAUGCAUG